AAGUAUUGCUGCCAUGAAGACACCUCGUGCUAAGACACCUUGUGCUUGGGGUAUUUUGACAUUUUAACACUCAAUUUCUUUAACCUUAAAGCAUGAUCUCGUGUGUGUGUGUGUGUGUGUGUGUGUGUGUGUGUGUGUAUAUAUAUAUAUAUAUCUCUUA
rnacentral:sRNA from 1 species